AAAAAUGCAUCAGUGAUCCCACUGAAACUCUGUACCCACUCAUCCUCUCUCUUCUCUCUCUCUCUCACAGACAAAACCCGUCAAAUUCAGUCCUUCAAUCCAAAAUCUCCCCCAAAGAAAAUGCAGGAAAAGAAAUCAGACUCGGCCUGCAAAAACCCUAAGAAGGCCAAUCUCCUCGACCACCACUCCAUCUAACACACCCUCGACGAGUCCGUCACCGAGAUCGUGACGGGGCCCGGAUAUGUGGAGGACGUGCGGAUGAGCAAUGUGAGGCUGUUUCUGGGCACCAUCAUCAUCGCAAUCGCUCUCUUCGCUCAGUUUUACAAGAAGAAGUUCCCCGAAAACCGAGAUUUUCUCAUCCUCUGCAUCGUCUUAUAUCCUAGUUUAUCUUGUUACUUGUGUUUGUAUUUGUUUAUAUGCUUUGAGUUUCUGUUUGGUUGAUGAGAAAACGCCUGAUUUGUUUCCGAAUUUUCGAUUCGUGUUCUUUGUAGUGUUGUGUUGAUGUUGGGUUCAAAUGUGUUUGAUCUUUGGCUCUUGGCACGUAUAUAGUCUUCAAUGUGCUGUUGCAGCUGAUCAUAUUCACCAAGGAGAAGAAUGCCAUUCUCUUCACGUAUCCUCCCGCUGAUUCGUUCACAAGCACUGGAUUGGUGGUCUCUUCCAAAUUGCCAAGAUUCUCUGAUAUGUACUCUCUUGUGAUAGCAAGUUCAGACCCCAAAUCGAUUUCUGCAAAUCAACCAGCGCAGUUCACCAAGAAUGUUACUCGGUUCACCAAGGACGGAGUUUUGGUGGGGGGCCUCUUCUGGAAAGAUGUCGAAGCACUUAUAAACGAAUAUCAGAGAGAACCAAAGAAGAGGAAGUGAUAGGAAGCUACUUCAUAUCGUCGUUGGUGGAGACGCCGGUUGGAACUGAAAGAGCUUUAGUUUAGCUGUCACAUGAUUGUAGAUGCUUACCGUUGUUAUUCAUAGAAGUCUUCGGAGAAUCUGUAUCGUUAAAGGUCGACAGAGAAGGAGAUUGAAGAUGCUCCUAGUUAACGCAAUUAAUGCUGUAUUGAUACUCACCUCCAGUGUGGGCGCAAAAAUGCGCACACAAGCAAAACUCUUACUAUCGAUAUGUUGCUACCUCAAGCGAAAUAAGUUGAGGUAUCGACUUUUGUUGAAGGAAAAGUAUUCAUUCAUUGAUUAAACUCCAAUUAUUAAAAUGUUA